rnacentral:rRNA from 1 species
GACAAUACCAGUGCAUGAGCGGCGGUGAGACGGAGGGAGCAAGCGUGACUGGGAAUGAAUGGGCGUAAAGGGCGAGUAGGGGAUCCGAGAAGUCUGGUGUGAAAGCCCACAUGUGAACUGUGGAAGUGCAUUAGAAACUGUUGGAUUUGAGUUCAGGAGAGGAAGGCAGAAUUCCCAGUGUAGCGGUGAAAUGCGUAGAGAUCGGGAGGAAUACCAGUGGCGAAGGCGGCCUUCUGGACUGACACUGACGCUGAGGCGCGAAAGCCAGGGGAGCAAACGGGAUUAGAUACCCCAGUAGUC